rnacentral:rRNA from 1 species
UACGAAGGGUGCUAGCGUUGCUCGGAAUCACUGGGCGUAAAGGGUGCGUAGGCGGCUCUUUAAGUCCGGGGUGAAAUCCUGGGGCUCAACUCCAGACCUGCCUUUGAUACUGAAGAUCUUGAGUUCGGGAGAGGUGAGUGGAACUGCGAGUGUAGAGGUGAAAUUCGUAGAUAUUCGCAAGAACACCAGUGGCGAAGGCGGCUCACUGGCCCGAUACUGACGCUGAGGCACGAAAGCGUGGGGAGCAAACAGG